UCACUCACAAGAACAAGCUAAAACUUUGCACAAAUCUCUCCUCAUGUUUCAAGUCACUUUUUAUUUUUCUUUAUUUAGGAAAACUUUUAAUGUUUAUUGUUUAUUUAAUUUUCUUUGCACAUUAUUCUUGCUACACUUAAUUAGUAUCUUAAUUAUCAUUAUUUUGCAUGAGAACUCCAUUGAUUCAAAAUCAAGAGUGUAAAGUAUUCUUGAACCUUAAUGAGCAAAAGUGAUUAAAUGUGAAUUAAUUUUUAUUUUUUUCGUGACUUAUUUUUGUUUAAUUCUGAGCAUUCCAUGAUGUUCGUGAGAUAGAGUAAAUGAUAUUUCGUUAUUCAUUUGCUUAAUUCCAUAGAAAAUUAAGCAAGUUAUGGUCAAAAUAAGGAUGCAUGUUGUUGUUGAAGACAAAUCCAUAUUAAAUUCCGACCAUCCGUUACUUUUUUUAUAUUGGCUUCAAUGCACUUUUGAUUCCCCUACUUUGUUGUAUUUUAAUUUGAGUUUAAUUGAAAU
rnacentral:lncRNA from 1 species